GUCUACGGCCAUACCACCCUGAACGCGCCCGAUCUCGUCUGAUCUCAGAAGCUAAGCAGGGUCGGGCCUGGUUAGUACUUGGAUGGGAGAAUCACUGGUCUAGCAAAAU
ensembl:rRNA 5S_rRNA 5S ribosomal RNA